rnacentral:lncRNA from 1 species
CCCCCCCCCCGCAUGCUCCUUUUCGGUUAGAUCGACGUUCAAUGAUGUCUCGUCGGUUGAAUUUUGUUGGACCGACGAAUAUGCGACUUUCGGUUAAACUCCGAUAUGCGGCGUGCUCUCCUCCUCCCAUAACAAAGAUGUCACUUUGAGGCCUUGUACGGCGGUAGUGUAGCUGCAACAUCCGCUGGAGCAUUCUUGGGGUAGUUCUAUGCGCUUUCUUUACACUUUCUCCACCGUUGAAGAGUUCUGGAGGUAGUUGUUUAUAUUUAGUUUGUUGUUGUUUGUUUCUUGAUGUAAUUAGUUGUGUUAU